ensembl:lncRNA LINC01208 long intergenic non-protein coding RNA 1208
CUUCUUAUUUUGAGAUAUGUCCCACCAAUACCUAGUUCAUGGAGAGUUUUUAACAUGAGGGGAUGUUGAAUUUUAUCAAAGGCCUUUUCUGUGCCUAUUGAGAUAAUCAUGUGGUUUUUGUCAUUAGUUCUGUUUAUGUGAUGGAUUACAUUUAUUGAUUUGUGUAUGUUGGACCAGCCCUGCAUCUCACAGAUGAAGCUGACUUGAUCAUGAUGACUGCCUUUUCACUUAACUGUGUCCUCAUAUGGAAGAGAGGAGAAAAGAGGAGAGGAGGGGAGAGUUUUCUUCUUCAUGCACAGACAGGCACCAAUUUGAAGCUUAAUGACAGCAGAAACAGAGAACAACUACUAACUAAGAGUAUUUUUAAUACAGUGCUGAAGAGCCAGCUGAACUGGCUUUGUAGAUCAUCCUCAGGAAACUGACGGUCAGGCCUCCUGUAUGACACCAGGGAGCUGAGGCUUUAUGGAUUGGAUCACUGCACCCAAUGAGACACACCUGCUGCCUGUCGAACCAACCCUCUUCCUAGCUCCUCCAUAAUUCCUUUUUUUCCUGCACGUGAUUACAGUGAGAUGCUAGAUCCCUCAUUCAGCUACCUGCUGCCUGUUGACCAGCUCCUCUUCCUCUCCCCCGGCCCUGGUUCUUCUUCCAAGCUAUUAGACUAUGGAAAUGAUGUUAGACAAAAAGCAAAUUCUAGUAAUUUUCUUAUUCGAGUUUAAAAGCAGCAGAGACAACUCGCAACAUCAACAAUGCAUUUGGCCCAGGAACUGCUAACGAAUGCACCGAGCAGUGUUGGUUCAAAAAGUUUUACGAAGGAGACAAGAGCCUUGAAGAUGAGGAGCGUAGUGGCCGGCAAUUGGAAGUUGACAAUGAGCAAUUGAGAGCAAUCAUUGAAGCUGAUCAUCUUACAACUAAACAAGAAGUUGGGGAAGAACUCAAUGUCGACUGUUCUAUGAUCAUUUGGCAUUUGAAGCAAAUUGGAAAGGUGAAAAAGCUCAGUAAGUGGGUGCCUCAUGAGCUGAGUGAAAAUUUUAAAAAAAUUGUCACUUUGAAGUGUUGUCUUCUCUUACUCUAUACAACAACAAACCAUUUGUUGACUGCAUCGUGAUGUGCGAUGAAACGUGGAUUUUAUACAACAACUGGCAAUGGUCAGCUCAGUAGCUGAAUCAAGAAGAGGCUCCAAAGCAUUUCCCAAAGCCAAAUUUGCACCAAAGAAAGGUCAUGGUCACUGUUUGGUGGUCUGCUGCCAGUCUGAUCCAUUAAAGCUUUCAGAGUCCCAGCAAAACCAUUACAUCUGAGAAGUAUGCUCAGCAUAUUGAUGAAAUGCACCAAAAACUGCAAUGCCUGCAGCUGGCAUUGGUCAACAGAAGGGUCCAGUUUUUCUUUAUGACAAGGUCUGACUGCACAUCACAUAACCAAUGCUUCAAAAAUUGAACAAAUUGGGCUACCAAGUUUUGCUUAAUCCACUAUAUUCACCUGACCUCUUGACAACCGACUACCACUUCUUCAAGCAUUUUCACAACGUUUUGCAGGGAAAAUGUUUCCACAACCAGUAGGAUGCAGAAAAUGCUUUCCAAGAGUUUAUCAAAUGAACAGCCAAAUAAAAAGGGCCCCCUGGCAGAACCUCUGACUGGCCUGUGCACUGGGAGGAGUGCACACUGGGGUGGAGCUCAGGAAGUUUGCGUUAUUUGCAGAGGGGAGGAGCCUGGCCGCUCCUGUUCCAGGUGGUACCUGGGAUUCAGUCUGUGAGGUGGGAAACCAUCUAGCAGGGCUCUCACUUUGCUGAGAGUUCCUGUUUUCCUUUUUUCUCCUUUUUGCCCAAUAUAUUCUAUUUUUCUCACCCUUCAAAGUGUCUGUGAGCCUAGUAUUUCAUGGCCAUGUGACAAGAACAUGACUUUUAGCUGAACUAAGGAGAAAGUCCUAUAACAACAUCCUGAAGCACAGAUUUUUAUGCUACAGAAAUAAACAAACUUAUCUCUCAUUGGCAAAAAGGUGCUGAUUAUAAUGGUUCCUAUUUUGAUUAAUAAAGAUGUGUUUGAGCCUAGUUAUAAUGAUUUAAAAUUCACAAUCUGAAACUGCAAUCACUGUGCACCAACCUAAUACAUAAACCCCUGACUUUAGUCAGGAGUAGGGGGAGGACUUGAGGUUUGGCUAAUGUCUCUCUGGCUCACAUUGCCCAUAAUAUAAUAAAGCCUUCUUCACCAGCAAUAUUCAGUGUCUCAGUGAUUGGCUUUCUGUGAGAGGGGGAACAAUGGGAUCUAGACUGAACUCCUGGUGUUUGGUAGCACUUGGUUUGGUUAAAUUAUUUUUUUAAAACCCCCAGUCUGAUUUUUUCUUCAAGGAUUGACUUAAAUACCACCUACUCCAAGAAGCUUUCCCUGACCUCUCCAACUAAAAUUGAAUUUUCUUUCUUCCUAACUUCAGCAGAAGUUAAACUUCACAUGUGACACUGAAAAGGUUCAACCUUGUAUUAAAAUUAUCUAUAUAUGUGUCUCAUCUACCCUAUUAAGUAGAAAUUAUUUGAGGGCAGAAGGUUUUUAUGAUUGUUUUCUAUCCUACUUAGCAUCUAGCUUAGCUCCUUGGAACAGUAGUAGGCAUUCAGAAAAACUUGUUCUUAUUUGAUUUGGCUUGCUGAAGAAAAACAAUAGCACCACUUAAUAAUCAGAAGAGAUAGAAAUGCAUGCAAAAAAUUCCUACCCUACAGUGGAAUGCAGCGUCUUUAACAAAACGCUUCCUGAUUCUUAAAGUGCUCCCUCCUCAGCAAACUGCUGGUUUGACCUACACUAAAACUUCAUCAUCAGGCAUAGGCUCCCCAUUUCCCUGAUUUAUUAUAAAGGAUUAAAGUGCUCACUGGUAUUUACUUUUGAUGAUUUAUGCCUAGAUUGUAUGUAUAGUCAGCGUGGAAGAAAUAUUGAAGGGUGUAUUCACACCAGCAUUUUUCAGAAACAGCCUGGCUGAGUGUGGAUUGGCAGUGCAUAAUAAAAAGAAGCAGGAGAGCCAGUCUCAUUUUCAAUUGCAAUAAUCCCACUCUGUACUGGUUGCAGGAUAGAGACGCUCUUUAUCCAUUUUUUUAUUUAUUUAGCCAAUCAAUAAGUCAUUAUUCUCUGAGUUAGUCAAAAAACAUCUUUAUGUGGGCACGAACUGGGUAGUGCCUUCAAGGCCUUUCUGAUAAUUGGUAUCAUUACAACUAAAAUCCAGUGGAAUUCCUUUAUAAUAUUCAUGCCAAUGGACAGACCUAGUAUCCUUCUUAAAUAGUAGUCAAAAAUCUCAAUAUUAACAUGCUAUCUUUUCUAAUUAUUAACUGUGGGUAUGUCCAAUAUUAAUAGGCAUACGC